CCUACGGGAGGCAGCAGUGAGGAAUAUUGGUCAAUGGCCGGAAGGCUGAACCAGCCAUGCCGCGUGAAGGUCAGUGCCCUAUGGGCGUUAAACUUCUUUUGUGCGGGAGCAAUAAUGGUCACGUGUGGCCAGACGAGAGUACCGUACGAAUAAGCAUCGGCUAACUCCGUGCAAGCAGCGGCGGUAAUACGGGGGAUGCAAGCGUUAUCCGGAUUUAUUGGGUUUAAAGGGUGCGUAGGCUGUGAGUUAAGUCAGCGGUGAAAUGCCCCCGCGCAACGGGGUGAAGUGCCAUUGAUACUGCCUUGCUGGAGUGCGAAUGCGGUAGGAGGAAUGUGUGGUGUAGCGGUGAAAUGCAUAGAUAUCACACAGAACACCGAUUGCGAAGGCAGCUCACGAAGCCGCGAUUGACGCUGAUGCACGAAAGCGUGGGUAUCAAACAGGAUUAGAUACCCUUGUAGUC
rnacentral:rRNA from 1 species